rnacentral:RNase_P_RNA from 1 species
CGAGGUGGCAAGGCGAUUGCGUGCCAUUUGGCAUGAGGAAAGUCCGAGCACCAUAGGGCAGGAUGCCGGCUAACGGCCGGUGGAGGCGACUCCAAGGAGAGUGCAACAGAAAUAAACCGCAGGGGGAUUGAUCCAUCAGUCAUCCGUGCCACACGGAUGGAAAGUGAGAUUUCUCCCCUGUAAGGAUGGAAAGGCGAGGUAAGAGCUCACCCGCGGCUUGGCGACUUGUCCGCGCUGUAAACCCCAUCUGGUGCAAGAUACGUAUGAGGACACAUGCGGCUGCCCGUCGCGUCCUCGGUAUCGCUUGAGCCUGCGCGGCAACGCCAGGCCUGGAUAGAUGAUCGACCCUCGACAGAACUCGGCUUACUGUCACGCUCGCGGG